rnacentral:rRNA from 1 species
CUCAAUGAAAAUAAAUAGCCGCAAUACUCUUGUGCUAAGGUAGCAUAAUCAUUUGUUUUUUAAUUAAAAACUAGAACGAAAGAUUUAAUAUUUUUAUUACUAUCUUAUAUAUAUAAAUAUAAUUUAUUCUAAAUAUAAAAAAAUAUUUAUUCAUUAAAAAGACGACAAGACCCUAUUGAACUUUACUAAAGUUUAACUGGGGUAGUUAAUUAAAUAUUAUUUUAAUUCAAAUUUCUAAACAAACCUUAUAUAAUCAAAAUAAUUAAGUUACCAUAGGGAUAACAGCGCAAUAAUUUUAUCAAGAUCUUAUUUAAAAAUUUGUUUGCGACCUCGAUGUUGAAUUAUUUAUCUAUUAAAUGCAAUAAUUUUAUAACGAAAGUCUGUUCGACUU